rnacentral:rRNA from 1 species
GAUGAACGCUGGCGGCGUGCCUAAUACAUGCAAGUCGAGCGAACAGACGAGGAGCUUGCUCCUCUGACGUUAGCGGCGGACGGGUGAGUAACACGUGGAUAACCUACCUAUAAGACUGGGAUAACUUCGGGAAACCGGAGCUAAUACCGGAUAAUAUAUUGAACCGCAUGGUUCAAUAGUGAAAGACGGCUUUGCUGUCACUUAUAGAUGGAUCCGCGCCGCAUUAGCUAGUUGGUAAGGUAACGGCUUACCAAGGCGACGAUCCGUAGCCGACCUGAGAGGAGGAUCAGCCACACUGGAACUGAGACAAGGUCCAGACUCCGACGGGAGGCAGCAGUGUGGAAUAUUGCACAAUGGGCGAAAGCCUGAUGCAGCCAUGCCGAGUGUAUGAAGAAGGCCUGCGGGUUGUAAAGUACUUUCAGCGGGGAGGAAGGGAGUAAAGGUAAUACCUUCGCUAAUUGACGUUACCCGAAGAAGAAGCACCGGCUAACUCCGUG